AAACAAAGCUGUAAAGUGACAAGUAAGAUACACUGUUAAACAUCAACACAGGAUAGACUCUCAAACAGUCACCACUUUUAAACAAAUCGAAAGAGAGGGAUGGUAUACGGCUGAUUUAACGGAAUGACAUUCACAACCACAUUAAAGGAACCCUGCUCAGGUUCUCUGAUGAGUCAAAACACCUCUGGCUAUUAUUUCAACAGAGUUUUGAACAGCGUACAGUUUCAACAGCCCUGCAUUCCACCAGUUCCUUGUGUAAAUAUCUGGUGUCGAUGUCUCUCAUUGAGAAGGGAGGAGUGGCCUGGCAAGAGGAGAGAGUGCACCACAGCGAGUCCCAGAAGCAGCACGUGGGAGCCACAGAGGACGGACUCAAGCCAUGCAGUUGCCUCCCUGGUUGUGAUUCAAUGGAGCCAGCUGGUUUAAAUAAACUGGGCACAAGCCAUCUUUCAAGAGCAAGCGUUUUGUGAAUCCCGUGUUGAACUCCCCAAAAUAAGAGAAGCAGUCAACAGUAAAAUGACAGGAAUACAAAAAAAGAUUGGGGUUGUACUGCUGUGAACUUAACCACUGAUUAUUUGCAUCCUCAUCUUUUGGAAAUAAAAAUAAAACAAAUUUACUUUCA
ensembl:lncRNA